rnacentral:rRNA from 1 species
UACAGAGGUCUCAAGCGUUGUUCGGAUUCAUUGGGCGUAAAGGGUGCGUAGGCGGCGCGGUAAGUCGGGUGUGAAAUCUUGGAGCUUAACUCCGAAACUGCAUUCGAUACUGCCGUGCUUGAGGACUGGAGAGGAGACUGGAAUUUACGGUGUAGCGGUGAAAUGCGUAGAUAUCAGGAAGAACACCCGUGGCGAAGGCGGCUCUCUGGGACGGUACUGGACGCUGAGACGCGAAAGCGUGGGGAGCGAACAGG